rnacentral:rRNA from 1 species
UACGGAGGGUGCAAACGUUGCUCGGAAUCAUUGGGCGUAAAGCGCACGUAGGCGGCCUGAUAAGUCGGGUGUGAAAGCCCUGGGCUCAACCCAGGAAGUGCACUCGAAACUGUCAGGCUUGAAUAUGGAAGAGGGUCGCGGAAUUCCCGGUGUAGAGGUGAAAUUCGUAGAUAUCAGGAGGAACACCGGUGGCGAAGGCGGCUCACUGGUCCGAUACUGACGCUGAGGUGCGAAAGCGUGGGGAGCAAACAGG